CCUACGGGAGGCAGCAGUGAGGAAUAUUGGUCAAUGGGCGGAAGCCUGAACCAGCCAAGUCGCGUGAGGGAAUAAGGCCCUACGGGUCGUAAACCUCUUUUGCCGGGGAGCAAGGGCGGGGACGUGUCCCGUCCCGGAGAGUACCCGGAGAAAAAGCAUCGGCUAACUCCGUGCCAGCAGCCGCGGUAAUACGGAGGAUGCGAGCGUUAUCCGGAUUUAUUGGGUUUAAAGGGUGCGUAGGCGGGCUGUUAAGUCAGCGGUAAAAAUUCGGGGCUCAACCCCGUCCGGCCGUUGAAACUGGGGGCCUUGAGUGGGCGAGAAGAAGGCGGAAUGCGUGGUGUAGCGGUGAAAUGCAUAGAUAUCACGCAGAACCCCGAUUGCGAAGGCAGCCUUCCGGCGCCCUACUGACGCUGAGGCACGAAAGUGCGGGGAUCGAACAGGAUUAGAUACCCCAGUAGUC
rnacentral:rRNA from 1 species